UGUGAGCAAAGUGAAAGCCUGAUGGAGGGUCAGGAUAAGGAUGGGCUUGGGACGCGCUGAGCCUCCAGAGCUCCAAGGUUGGUGGAGUCACGCCCUAGGCACCGCAGCCAGGACUACACUUCCCAGAAGCCCAAUCUCGCGCGAUCUUGGGCAGUUCUACGGGUGCUGGCGGGAGAGUCCCGGUUAGAGAAAUACUUGGGCGUCCUGUUGCUGUCAGUCCCUCCUCCUCGACUUUCCAAGAGAAGGUUGGCUCACACCACCUAUGACGCAAGCCUCAGUGCUCCUGAACUCUUCGACUUGUGUCUCCCUGAAAAUCAGUUUGCAUUGGAGCCCAUCCUUCGAGGCUGGGCCAGGUGCAAGGCAGCGAGAGGGCUCUGGACCAUGUGUGCACGGGAGGUACCGCUCACCAGCCUCCUGCUCUCUGUCUUAGCACACAGUAGAAGAAAUUUGGCUUACCUCGAUGAAAGAGAGCUAUCAAAUACACAGAGAAGACAGCCUGAGUGAUCUUGUCCUAAGGGUGUCUACCUGAUGGAUGUUGGGUCCUUACAGCAGGGAGAAGAUGCACUCAUCUUUGUAUUUCUAGCACCUAUCACAGGACUGGAAAAGCUGGCCAUCAGAUAAAUUAGGCUUUCUGCCCAGUGUGGAGCUCAACCUGGGGCUUGAGCUCACGACCCUGAGAUCAAGACCUGAGCUGAGAUCAAGAGUCAGAUGCUUAACCGACUGAGCCACCCAGGGUCACCAUGAAUGAUAUGAAGGUGGAUCAAAAACAUUUGAGAAAAUCUUACAAUUCCACGUAUAAAAUGGAACCACUUAAAAGAGGCACAUUUUAUUGAUUAUUUUCCUAGUGAUGUAACAAUGAUACAGGUUUCCUUUGGCAAAAAUAAAUAAAGAAACAAACAAUCGGCACAUUGAAUGAAGCGCAAAUUAAUUCUGUGCUGACAAAUUCGUCAUUCUAGUUCCUAGUUUCAAAAUUGCUUUAUGAAAUAUGUGAGGAAUAAAUGUUGCUGUAAGAAGUCAAUGUUUCUCUGUGUUUAUUGUCCUAGAGAAAUUUAGGUAGGCAUUUUAUAAUUAUUUUAAUAAAAAUCCAGGGAUAUUUUUAAAAAUUAUAGUGAUACGAUAAUUUAUAGGUGUAUUUAAAAACAAGUGCAUAUGCUCAAACUUCUCAUAAAGAUCAAAAUAAGAUUCAGAGAAUGUAUAUGAGAAUUGUCUCUGGCUAAGGAAUCUGAUUAUUUUACUUGAGCUGUGAUACUUCUGGCCUAAAAUAUGUUUUAAGACAAUGUACAAAAUAUAUUAGGAAGAAGGAAAACUUUAAAAAUAUAUAGAUUUAUAUAUGUCUGCUUUACAAACAAAAAUGAAGACAUUGCUAAUAUUUUAGCCUGUGUAAAAUAAGUUGUAAUGUAACUUUUCUACUGAACACACAAAAUUUGUUUCUCACUUCAACACAUUUAAUCUAUAUAUAAAUUGAAGUAACUUUCUGUCUCUAUAAACAAAACCUAACUAAUGAACUAAAUAAAUAAGUAAAAUAAUGGGUACUUAAUAAUUUGGCACUUUUAUUUACUUAUUGUUGCUGGAAAGUCUAUUGUUGUUAUUGCAAUCAUACAUACAUAUCUCAGCAAUCUGGAUAAUAAUUACCUAGGCUAUCAUCAAAUUAUUUUGGGAAAUACUUGUAAUGUUCUCAGAAAAAGUAGUAUGUCAAUUUACAGUAUCAAUAAAGAGGCAGGCCUUUUAUUUAUUUUUUUCUUGUCUUUUUUUUUUAAUUUAAAUCGAAGUUAGUUAACAUACAGUGUAGUAAUGGUUUUAGGAGUAGAAUUUGUGAUUCAUCAUUUACAUAUAACACCUAGUGUUCAUCUCAAGAAGUGCCCUCCUUAAUGUCCAUCAUACAUUUAGCCCAUUAGCCCACACAUCUCCCCUCCAGCAACCCUCAGUUUGUUCUCUGUAUUUAAAGGUCUUUUAUGGUUUGCCUCCCUCUUUGUUUGAAUCCUAUUUGUGCUUCCCAUCCCCUAUGUUAAUUUGUUGUGUUUCUUAAAUUCCACAUGUGAGUGAAAUCAUAUAAUAUUUGUCUUUUUCUGACUGACUUAUUUCACUUAGCAUAAUACACGGUAGUUCAACUGACACUGUCGCAAAUGGCAAGAUUUCAUUCUUUUUGAUUGCCGAGUAAUAUU